UCAAUUUCUCAACGGUUCAUCUUCUCAAUUUUGAAAAUCAAAAUUUGUGCUCUCUAUCCGUCAGCCUUCGUCUAAUCUGUCCGCCAUUUUUGUCUACUUUGUCAGCCUUUGAAAAUCAAAAUUGUGCUCUCCGUCCGUCCGUCUUCGUCUAAUCUGUCCGCCAUUUUUGUCUACUCUGUCCGCCUUAAAAAAUCAAAUCGCCAAUUUCGUCUACUCUGUCCGCCAUUUUCGUCCAAUAUUCUUGAAAGAUUGGGCAGCAUUGGAUGCAUAUAAAGACAAGAAAACUGGAGAACUUUUGGGUCCACAAUAUUCGUUUAAUGUGGAGUUUGCUCAAGACAACAUGCAACAAAUAAGUGAUAGCCUGUGAGUAUUGUUUAUUAUUUUAUUUUAUUUUUUGUAUCUAUUCAUCCUUAUAAUUAUUCUUAUUGUUUUUGUAGUGAUUGCGGACUAUUCGUAGUUGUAUAUGCAGAAUUCUGAGUGACAAAAUCAACAUGUCAUGUAAUAGUUUUAAGAGUAGCUAUCUUCGCAAAAGAUAUGUGAUUCUUUUAUUGAAGUAUGGUCUCGACAAGAUGAAUGCUGGAUAUGUUAGCAACAGUGAUGACCCUUCAAGAAUGAAGAAUGUAUUAAACCCAUCAUCUGAAGAUGAAAUUGUUAAUGUAGGCUAGUUAGUUUUCAAUGUUUGAUUUUUUUUUGUUUUUUGGAGUUAAACAAGAUGUUUGAAGUAUUUAUUAACAUAACAACACAUAUUGUUAAAUUAUGAAAGUGUUUUGAUUUUUAAAA